UACGUAGGGGGCGAGCGUUGUCCGGAAUCAUUGGGCGUAAAGCGCGUGUAGGCGGCCCGGUAAGUCCGCUGUGAAAGUCCAGGGCUCAACCCUGGGAUGCCGGUGGAUACUGUCGGGCUAGAGUCCGGAAGAGGAGAAUGGAAUUCCUGGUGUAGCGGUGAAAUGCGCAGAUAUCAGGAAGAACACCCGUGGCGAAGGCGGUUCUCUGGGACGGUACUGACGCUGAGACGCGAAAGCGUGGGGAGCGAACAGG
rnacentral:rRNA from 1 species